rnacentral:tmRNA from 1 species
GGGGCUGACUGGAUUUGACAGCGGGCUGGGAUGGUGCGUAAGCAUGCGGAGUGACGGUCGUCAACUCCUUAAUCACGCCGACCAACAAUUUAAUUGGCGAAACAAAGUACGCUCUCGCUGCCUAACCGAAGAUUAGUAGGUUAGCUUAAUUCCCCUGCAAGGCGGGGGAACGUGACAUCGCUCAGAGCCAACUCCCAGAGGCUGACUGGUUAUAGCGGUGCAGAAAUAUCAGGGAUAGCUGGCAGUAAGCCCCGCGCUGCUGGCGAAGUUUUUGGGGAUAAGGUGCCAGUUGGUGGUCCAGGUCUUGCUGUCACACGAAAACCGAAGGCUGGAAUAAGCAUGUAGAAAGCGUACGGUCACACCGUUUGGACGAGGGUUCGACUCCCUCCAGCUCCACA